GACGAACGCUGGCGGCGUGCUUAACACAUGCAAGUCGAACGGAAAGGCCCUGCUUUUGUGGGGUGCUCGAGUGGCGAACGGGUGAGUAACACGUGAGUAACCUGCCCUUGACUUUGGGAUAACUUCAGGAAACUGGGGCUAAUACCGGAUAGGAUCUCCUGCUGCAUGGUGUGGGUUGGAAAUUUUCGGCGGUUGGGGAUGUACUCGCGGCUUAUCAGCUUGUUGGUGGGGUAGUGGCUUACCAAGGGUUUGACGGGUAGCCGGCCUGAGAGGGUUACCGGGAAAAAUGGGAAUGAGAGACGGACCAGAAGGCAACGGGAGGCAGCAGGGGGGAAUAUUGCACAAAGGGCGGAAGCCUGAUGCAGAAACGCAGCGUGCGGGAUGACGGCCUUCGGGUUGUAAACAGCUUUAGCCUGUGACGAAGAGUGAGUGACGGUAAUGGGUAAAGAAGCACCGGCUAACUACGUG
rnacentral:rRNA from 1 species